rnacentral:rRNA from 1 species
CCUACGGGCUGCAGCAGUGGGGAAUAUUGGACAAUGGGCGAAAGCCUGAUCCAGCCAUGCCGCGUGUGUGAAGAAGGCCUUCGGGUUGUAAAGCACUUUCAGUGGGGAAGAAAGCCUUGGGGCUAAUACCCUCGAGGAAGGACAUCACCCACAGAAGAAGCACCGGCUAACUCCGUGCCAGCAGCCGCGGUAAUACGGAGGGUGCGAGCGUUAAUCGGAAUUACUGGGCGUAAAGCGCGCGUAGGCGGUCUGAUAAGCCGGUUGUGAAAGCCCCGGGCUCAACCUGGGAACGGCAUCCGGAACUGUCAGGCUAGAGAGCAGGAGAGGAAGGUAGAAUUCCCGGUGUAGCGGUGAAAUGCGUAGAGAUCGGGAGGAAUACCAGUGGCGAAGGCGGCCUUCUGGACUGACACUGACGCUGAGGUGCGAAAGCGUGGGUAGCAAACAGGAUUAGAUACCCUGGUAGUC